AAAUAUAUUAGACAGCAGAACUGUUUCCAACACUCAUAAUAAAUCAGAAUAUUAGAAUGAUUUCUAAAUGAUCAUGUGAUAGACUGGAUGUUACAUGUGACACUGAAGGCUGGAGUAAUGAUGCUGAAAAUUCAGCUUUGCAUCACAGGAAUAAAUUAUUUUUUUAAAGUAUAUUCAAAUAGAAAAACUAUUAUUUUAAGUUGUAAUAAUAUUUCACAAUAUUACUGUUUUUUCUGUAUUUUUGAUCAAAUAAAUGCAGGCUUGAUGAGCAGAAGAGACUUCUUUCAAAAACAUUAAAAAUAGUAAUGUUUCCAAACUUUUAACCUGUACUGUAUCUACGGCCUGUUGCCCGGCUAGUUAAGUUGCCAUCGUGAGAGAAUGAGGAAGGAAAUAGUAACUGACACUGAGACUUUCCUAACUAAUUACAAAUUAAAAUACUAAAUUUGGGGGCGGCAUCUGUACACUGAGACAUGCCACAUGUCAGUCACUCAGAGUCCAUCAUGAUGCAUUAUGGGACAGUCUUCAGCAGAGACGGUCAGUCACUCUCGUAUGCUGGCGGAGUGAGAGAACUGAGGGAAAAGAGUGCAUGGCCCAGCGUCCUCCACAUCCUUACAUUCACUGAAACACAAGCACAGCACUGAUCACACAACAACCUCACUUCCGUUCCUACUCACUUCAUCAUGCACAGAAGAGGGAGGCAGGGCUUGACCUUACCUUCUUCCCCAGGACCACGUGCACUUAAAUUACAAUUUAGGAGCGCAUAAAAAAAAACUUCAGGAGUGCAAUUAUAAUUCAUGAAAUAACGUGCUUUUCCUUAAUAAAAGGCAUACAAGAAGACAUUUACAAGCAAAAUUAGGAGCCCCUAAGGAGUCGUGAUGGAGUUCCCCAAAAAGUGCAUUCCAGAGAAACUGUGCCCUCUCAAAGUUAAAAACAUUUGCAUUCAUUCAUAAAAUGUGUUUGUUUGUGAAACAUUUGCGUUCGUUCAUAAAUCAUAUUUGUUCCUUCGUAAAACAAAUGCAUUUAUUUACAAAACAUUUGUGUUUAUUAAUAAAAAAAAAUCUGAAUUUGUUUGCAAAACGUUUGUGUUUAUUCGUAAAACAUUUGCGUUUGUUUAUAAAAAAUUUGUGUUCAUUCGUAAAACAUUUGCAUUUGUUUGUAAAAAAAUACUGUAAAACAACGACAUGCCGUACAAAAGUAAUCACAAUACACACACUCUCAACUCUCAGAAUGUACUUUGGUGGUACCAUGGUAAUACUAAUACAGUGUAAUACAGUACUGUUUUUUGUUAAUGACAUACAAAAUAAACACAUAUUAACAGAUUGUUUGUUUGUGACAGCUGAUGUUAUGAGGAACAUCUGUGCAUCCCUGAGACUCACAUCUGCAUCAUCUUCAAUCAUACAUGAUUUAACAAACUCGGGGGUUUUCAAUCUUUCAGAUGCCAUGGACCCCUAA
ensembl:lncRNA